GUGGGGAGUAUUGGACAAUGGGCGAAAGCCUGAUCCAGCCAUGCCGCGUGUGUGAAGAAGGUCUUCGGAUUGUAAAGCACUUUAAGUUGGGAGGAAGGGUAGUAACCUAAUACGUUGCUACUUUGACGUUACCGACAGAAUAAGCACCGGCUAACUUCGUGCCAGCAGCCGCGGUAAUACGAAGGGUGCAAGCGUUAAUCGGAAUUACUGGGCGUAAAGCGCGCGUAGGUGGUUCAGUAAGUUGGAAGUGAAAUCCCCGGGCUCAACCUGGGAACUGCUUUCAAAACUGCUGAGCUAGAGUACGGUAGAGGGUGGUGGAAUUUCCUGUGUAGCGGUGAAAUGCGUAGAUAUAGGAAGGAACACCAGUGGCGAAGGCGACCACCUGGACUGAUACUGACACUGAGGUGCGAAAGCGUGGGGAGCAAACAGGAUUAGAAACCCGUGUAGUCC
rnacentral:rRNA from 1 species